rnacentral:sRNA from 1 species
GCCCUGCUGCUGCUGCUGCUGCUGCUGCUGCUGCUGCUGCUGCUGCUGCUGCUGCUGCUGCUGCUGCUGCUGCUGCUGCUGCUGCUGCUGCUGCUGCUGCUGCUGCUGCUGCUGCUGCUGCUGCUGCUGCUGCUGCUGCAGCUGCUGUUGCUGCUGCAGCAGCUGCAGUAGCAGCAACAGCAGCAGUAGCAGCAGCAACAAUAGCUGCAGCAGCAGGAGCAGCAGCAGCUGCAG